rnacentral:tRNA from 1 species
GGUCGCUUAACUCAGUUGGUUAGAGUGUGGAGCUAAUAAUGCGAUAUAUCGCGGAUAUACUCCAAAGUCGCAGGUUCGAGCCCUGCAGUGACCA